rnacentral:hammerhead_ribozyme from 1 species
AUCUAGCUGACGAGUUACAAAUAGGACGAAACGCGCGUCCUGGAU